rnacentral:rRNA from 1 species
CGGCAGUGCGCGUCUACCAUGCAGUCGAACAACCCUUCGGGUGAAUGGGCGAAGGGUGAGUAACGGCUGGGAAUAUGCCCUCAUGAGGGGGAUAACGGCUGAAAAAUGUCGCUAAUACCCCAUAUGAUGAGAGGUGAAAUGAAUUUCGCCUGAGGAUGAUGCCGCGUCUGAUUAUCUAAUUGGUGAGGGGGGAGCGCACCACGGCAUCGAUCAUCUACUGGUGGGAUAAGAUGAUGAUCCACACUGGGGCUGAUACACGGCCCACACUCCUACGGGAGGCGGCAGUGGGGAAUUUUCCGCAAUGGGGGAAAGCCUGAUGGACCAACGCCGCGUGAGGGAUGAUGGCCUCUGGGCUGUUAACCUCUUUUCUCACCGAAGAUGAUCUGACGGUACUUGAGGAAUUAGCCUCCGCUAAUUCCGUGCCAGCAGCCGCGGUAAUACCGGAGUGGCAAGCGUUAUCCGGAAUUAUUGGGCGUAAAGCGUCCGCAGGCGGCCCUUUUCGUCUGCUGUUAAAACGUGGAGAUUAACUCUCUCGUGCUGCCGGAAACUGUUGGGCUUGAGUGUGGUAGGGGCAGAGGGAAUUCCCGGUGUAGCGGUGAAAUGCGUAGAUAUCUCGAAGAACACCAGUGGCGAAAGCGCUCUGCUGGGACAUAACUGACGCUCAUGGACGAAAGCCAUGGGAGCGAAACGGAUUAGAUACCCCUGUAGUCCUGCGCGUAAAACAUGAACACUAAGUGUCGGGGGAAUCGACCCCCUGGGUGUCGUAGCUAACGCGUUAAGUGAUCCGCCUGGGGAGUACGCACGCAAGUGUGAAACUCAAAGGAAUUGACGGGGCCCUGCACAAGCGGUGGAGUAUGUGGUUUAAUUCGAAGCAACGCGCAGAACCUUACCAGGCUUUGACAUCCUGCGUACCUCUUGGAAGACGACUCUGAUGCCUUCGGGAGCUGAGACGACUGACGGGUGGAUGCAUGUCUUCCGCUCGCGUCGUGUCGAUGAUAUGGUUGAGUCACGUCACGCAGCGCAACCCACCUUUUUACCUUGCCUUGCGUUCAGUUGGGUACUCUACGUUAAAGCGGCUGUCAUAAACAGACGAGGUAUGGAUGACAUGCAGUCAUCAUCGUCCACUGUACAUCUGGGCCUGACCUACGUACUACGCAUGCCUAUCGACAUGAAGCAGCAAGUCGACCCACGCACAAGGCUGAAGC